rnacentral:rRNA from 1 species
ACGCAACGCGAAGAACCUUACCUACCCUUGACAUCCUCGGAACCUGCUAGAGAUAGUGGGGUGCCUUCGGGAACCGAGAGACAGGUGCUGCAUGGCAGUCGUCAGCUCGUGUCGUGAGAUGUUGGGUUAAGUCCCGUAACGAGCGCAACCCUUGUCGUUAGUUGCCAUCAGGUAAAGCUGGGAACUCUAAGGAGACUGCCGGUGACAAGCCGGAGGAAGGUGGGGAUGACGUCAAGUCCUCAUGGGCCUUACGGGUAGGGCUACACACGUGGUACAAUGGACGGUACAAAAGGCAGCGAAACCGCG